UACGAGAGCCUCAAGCGUUAUCCGGAAUUAUUGGGCGUAAAGGGUGUGUAGGCGGUAAUGUUAGUCUCAUGUCAAAGCCUCUGGCUUAACCAGAGAUCCGCAUGGGAAACGGCAUAACUAGGAGGCAGGAGAGGCAAGCGGUACUCAGUGGGUAGGGGUAAAAUCCGUUGAUCCAUUGAAGACCACCAGUGGCGAAGGCGGCUUGCCAGAAUGCGCUCGACGGUGAGGGAUGAAAGCUGGGGGAGCAAACCGG
rnacentral:rRNA from 1 species